rnacentral:rRNA from 1 species
UACGUAGGGGGCAAGCGUUGUCCGGAUUUAUUGGGCGUAAAGAGCGUGUAGGCGGUCAGGUAGGUCCGUUGUGAAAACUCGAGGCUCAACCUCGAGACGCCGAUGGAAACCAUCUGACUAGAGUCCGGAAGAGGAGAGUGGAAUUCCUGGUGUAGCGGUGAAAUGCGCAGAUAUCAGGAAGACACCCGUGGCUAAGGCGGCUCUCUAGUACGGUACUGACGCUGAGACGCGAAAGCGUGGGGAGCGAACAGG